rnacentral:rRNA from 1 species
AGAGUUUGAUCCUGGCUCAGAUUGAACGCUAGCGGGAUGCUUUACACAUGCAAGUCGAACGGCAGCACGAGAGAGCUUGCUCUCUUGGUGGCGAGUGGCGGACGGGUGAGUAAUAUAUCGGAACGUGCCCAGUAGCGGGGGAUAACUACUCGAAAGAGUGGCUAAUACCGCAUACGCCCUACGGGGGAAAGGGGGGGAUUCUUCGGAACCUCUCACUAUUGGAGCGGCCGAUAUCGGAUUAGCUAGUUGGUGGGGUAAAGGCUCACCAAGGCAACGAUCCGUAGCUGGUUUGAGAGGACGACCAGCCACACUGGGACUGAGACACGGCCCAGACUCCUACGGGAGGCAGCAGUGGGGAAUUUUGGACAAUGGGGGAAACCCUGAUCCAGCCAUCCCGCGUGUAUGAUGAAGGCCUUCGGGUUGUAAAGUACUUUUGGCAGAGAAGAAAAGGUACCUCCUAAUACGAGGUACUGCUGACGGUAUCUGCAGAAUAAGCACCGGCUAACUACGUGCCAGCAGCCGCGGUAAUACGUAGGGUGCAAGCGUUAAUCGGAAUUACUGGGCGUAAAGCGUGUGUAGGCGGUUCGGAAAGAAAGAUGUGAAAUCCCAGGGCUCAACCUUGGAACUGCAUUUUUAACUGCCGAGCUAGAGUAUGUCAGAGGGGGGUAGAAUUCCACGUGUAGCAGUGAAAUGCGUAGAUAUGUGGAGGAAUACCGAUGGCGAAGGCAGCCCCCUGGGAUAAUACUGACGCUCAGACACGAAAGCGUGGGGAGCAAACAGGAUUAGAUACCCUGGUAGUCCACGCCCUAAACGAUGUCAACUAGCUGUUGGGGCCGUUAGGCCUUAGUAGCGCAGCUAACGCGUGAAGUUGACCGCCUGGGGAGUACGGUCGCAAGAUUAAAACUCAAAGGAAUUGACGGGGACCCGCACAAGCGGUGGAUGAUGUGGAUUAAUUCGAUGCAACGCGAAAAACCUUACCUACCCUUGACAUGUCUGGAAUCCCGAAGAGAUUUGGGAGUGCUCGCAAGAGAACCGGAACACAGGUGCUGCAUGGCUGUCGUCAGCUCGUGUCGUGAGAUGUUGGGUUAAGUCCCGCAACGAGCGCAACCCUUGUCAUUAGUUGCUACGCAAGAGCACUCUAAUGAGACUGCCGGUGACAAACCGGAGGAAGGUGGGGAUGACGUCAAGUCCUCAUGGCCCUUAUGGGUAGGGCUUCACACGUCAUACAAUGGUCGGGACAGAGGGUCGCCAACCCGCGAGGGGGAGCCAAUCUCAGAAACCCGAUCGUAGUCCGGAUCGCAGUCUGCAACUCGACUGCGUGAAGUCGGAAUCGCUAGUAAUCGCGGAUCAGAAUGUCGCGGUGAAUACGUUCCCGGGUCUUGUACACACCGCCCGUCACACCAUGGGAGUGGGUUUCACCAGAAGUAGGUAGCCUAACCGCAAGGAGGGCGCUUACCACGGUGGGAUUCAUGACUGGGGUGAAGUCGUAACAAGGUAACC